rfam:Anolis carolinensis chromosome Tnknown cont2.38164, whole genome shotgun sequence.
GGCCCUGUGGCACAAUGGUAGCGCGUCUGACUCCAGAUCAGAAGGUUGUGUGUUCAAAUCACACCAGGGUCA